rnacentral:rRNA from 1 species
GACGAACGCUGGCGGCGUGCUUAACACAUGCAAGUCGAACGGAAAGGCCCUGCUUUUGUGGGGUGCUCGAGUGGCGAACGGGUGAGUAACACGUGAGUAACCUGCCCUUGACUUUGGGAUAACUUCAGGAAACUGGGGCUAAUACCGGAUAGGAGCUCCUGCUGCAUGGUGGGGGUUGGAAAGUUUCGGCGGUUGGGGAUGGACUCGCGGCUUAUCAGCUGGUUGGUGGGGUAGUGGCUUACCAAGGCUUUGACGGGUAGCCGGCCUGGGAGGGUGACCGGCCACAUUGGGACUGAGAUACGGACCAGACUCCUACGGGAGGCAGCAGUGGGGAAUAUUGCGCAAUGGGGGGGAGUCUGAUGCAGCAGCGCCGCGUGCGGGAUGACGGCCUUCUAGUUGUAAACAGCUUUCGCCUGUGACGAAGCGUGAGUGACGGUAAUGGGUAAAGAAGCACCGGCUAACUACGUG